AUUUUUUUGCAUAAAACUAGCUUAGCUUAGUUAUAUAUUGCUGCCCAUCAGAUUUUCAGUGCUAUAUAUUUUUUUUUCAUAACUCGGACAACCCGUUUAACUUCCCAAUUUAGAGCCUGUAAACAUGCUAUUUGAUAAUGGCCUUCCAAUAAUAUCUAGUAGGCGCCUACUUACUAUCUUGACAUUGGCUGGCUUUAGUGGGUUUCUAAUUAUCUGCCUAGCAACUAAUGAUGUCAUUCUCUCUCACUAUUUUAUGAGUGGCUCAGCAAACUUGUUAUCUAAUAAAGUACAGCAGGAAGUACAUAAAGUACAUUGUCAGGAAGGAAGCGUUCCUUCCCGACAAUCACCUGCUCGUUGGUGGAGGAGCUCGCUGCUAUUACAUGCAGAGUAUGAAUUCUGGCUUCAAAUAUGACUUUUGCACUCGUUUGUUGUGUGCUGCGACCCGAUUCACUUGUGGCAAGACUGAGUGAGGAUUGAAAUGAAAUAAUGUCUCACAGUCAAAGCACAAACGCAGGUUUUCUCCAUUGUCAUCCCUCUGAGCAGGGGAUCUGCUCUUGAACUGAAAGCACUUCUCACACAUUGAACAUAUAU